AGCAGUGGGGAAUUUUGGACAAUGGGCGCAAGCCUGAUCCACCAUGCCGCGUGGAGGAUGAAGGCCUUCUGGUUGUAAACUGCUUUUGUACGGAACAAAAAGUCUUCUUCUAAUACAGGGGGAUUAUGACGGUACCCUAAGAAUAACACCGGCUAACUACGUGCCAGCAGCCGCGGUAAUACAUAUGGUGGAAGCGUUUAAUCGGAAUUUCUGGGCGUAAAGCAAUGCUCACGCGGUAAUGUAAUACAGAUGUGAAAUCCCCCGGGCUCAAACUGGGGAACUGCUUUUUGUACUGCAUUGCUUUGAGUGAGGGAAAAAGGGGGUGGAAUUCCCCCUCGUCGCAGUGAAAUGCGUUA
rnacentral:rRNA from 1 species